rnacentral:rRNA from 1 species
UACGUAGGGACCAAGCAUUGUUCGGAUUUACUGGGCGUAAAGGGCGCGUAGGCGGCGUGGUAAGUCACUUGUGAAAUCUCUGAGCUUAACUCAGAACGGCCAAGUGAUACUGCUGUGCUAGAGUGCAGAAGGGGCAAUCGGAAUUCUUGGUGUAGCGGUGAAAUGCGUAGAUAUCAAGAGGAACACCUGAGGUGAAGACGGGUUGCUGGGCUGACACUGACGCUGAGGCGCGAAAGCCAGGGGAGCAAACGGG